rnacentral:tRNA from 1 species
GUCCCUGUAGCGCAAUGAAUAGCGCGUUGGACUUCUAAUCCAAAGGUCGUAGGUUCGAAUCCCACCUGGGAUU